AUUGAACGCUGGCGGCAGGCCUAACACAUGCAAGUCGAGCGGAUGAAGGCAGCUUGCUCCUGGAUUCAGCGGCGGACGGGUGAGUAAUGCCUAGGAAUCUGCCUGGUAGUGGGGGAUAACGUCCGGAAACGGGCGCUAAUACCGCAUACGUCCUGAGUGAGAAAGUGGGGGAUCUUCGGACCUCACGCUAUCAGAUGAGCCUAGGUCGGAUUAGCUAGUUGGUGGGGUAAAGGCCUACCAAGGCGACGAUCCGUAACUGGUCUGAGAGGAUGAUCAGUCACACUGGAACUGAGACACGGUCCAGACUCCUACGGGAGGCAGCAGUGGGGAAUAUUGGACAAUGGGCGAAAGCCUGAUCCAGCAAUGCCGCGUGUGUGAAGAAGGUCUUCGGAUUGUAAAGCACUUUAAGUUGGGAGGAAGGGCAGUAAGUUAAUACCUUGCUGUUUUGACGUUACCAAAAGAAUAAGCACCGGCUAACUUCGUG
rnacentral:rRNA from 1 species